rnacentral:rRNA from 1 species
AGUCAACAUGCCCAGGGGACGUGGAUAACCUCGGGAAACUGAGGAUAAACCGCGAUAGGUCAUCACUUCUGGAAUGGGUAAUGACUUAAACCUAUAUGGCCCCUGGAUUGGACUGCGGCCGAUCAGGCUGUUGGUGAGGUAAUGGCCCACCAAACCUGUAACCGGCACGGGCUCUGAGAGGAGGAGCCCGGAGAUGGGCACUGAGACAAGGGCCCAGGCCCUAUGGGGCGCAGCAGGCGCGAAACCUCUGCAAUAGGCGAAAGCUUGACAGGGUUACUCUGAGUGAUUUCCGUUAAGGAGAUCUUUUGGCACCUCUAAAAAUGGUGCAGAAUAAGGGGUGGGCAAGUCUGGUGUCAGCCGCCGCGGUAAUACCAGCACCCCGAGUGGUCGGGACGUUUAUUGGGCCUAAAGCAUCCGUAGCCGGUUCUACAAGUCUUCCGUUAAAUCCACCUGCUUAACAGAUGGGCUGCGGAAGAUACUAUAGAGCUAGGAGGCGGGAGAGGCAAGCGGUACUCGAUGGGUAGGGGUAAAAUCCGUUGAUCCAUUGAAGACCACCAGUGGCGAAGGCGGCUUGCCAGAACGCGCUCGACGGUGAGGGAUGAAAGCUGGGGGAGCAAACCGGAUUAGAUACCCGGGUAGUCCCAGCUGUAAACGAUGCAGACUCGGUGAUGAGUUGGC